rnacentral:rRNA from 1 species
CCUACGGGGGACAGCAGUGAGGAAUAUUGGUCAAUGGGCGAGAGCCUGAACCAGCCAAGUCGCGUGAAGGAUGACGGACCUAUGGAUUGUAAACCUCUUUUAUAGGGGAAUAAAGUGAGGCACGAGUUCCUUUUUGUAUGUACCUUAUGAAUAAGCAUCGGCUAACUCCGUGCCAGCAGCCGCGGUAAUACGGAGGAUGCGAGCGUUAUCCGGAUUUAUUGGGUUUAAAGGGUGCGUAGGUGGUUAAUUAAGUCAGCGGUGAAAGUUUGUGGCUCAACCAUAAUAUUGCCGUUGAAACUGGUUGACUUGAGUAUAUUUGAGGUAGGCGGAAUGCGUGGUGUAGCGGUGAAAUGCAUAGAUAUCACGCAGAACUCCGAUUGCGAAGGCAGCAUACCGGCGCUCGACUGACGCUCAUGCACGAAAGUGUGGGUAUCGAACAGGAUUAGAUACCCGGGUAGUC